rnacentral:lncRNA from 1 species
GUAAGUACACUUGGAAAGGGCAUAUAUUUAGCUGUUUCAAAUGCUCUAUUUCUGGGCAAAGCACAUGUUUAAAUGUUUGGUUGACAUGAAUUAAAAGCAAAUGCCCAAUUUGGUACUCUAUAAGGUAGCUUUCUGAUGCCCUGAAGAAUCUUAUUUACAUGACGCCAAAUGCAUUCAUUCAUUGACCAAUUCAUUCACUUAACAGAUGUUGACAAUGUAUUCAUGAUAUGCCAGUGGCAUUCUGGGCACCGCUGAGAGGUGUGGAUAAAUAGGACAUAGAACCUUCACAUCCAAGGCAACUAAAUCUAGAUGUUGUGCUCCAGCAAAAGUGUGUUCCUGUAAGAGACAGAAGACGAGACACAGAUAAAGAAGAGAAGUCCUCAUGGAGAUGGAGGCAGGACUGGAGUGAUGCGGCCACAAGCCCAGGGAAGCCUGAAGUCCCCCAGAAAUGGGAGAGGCAGGAAGGAUUCUCCCCUAGAGCCUCCAAAGGGAGCACCACCCGGAGACACCUUGAUUUCAGAUUUCUGGUGCCCAGAAAUGGUAGAGAAUAAAUUUCUGUUGUUUAAGCCUCCCGGUCUGUGACACUUUUGCUACAGCAGCCCCAGAAAACUCAAACACAACACUCUGUGUGUGUGCUCCUACAGUAACUUCCAUAUACCUCUCAUGGGAGAGGAAGGGGAUUAUUCUUCCAACAAGAUGGAGACUUGCACACAUGCCUUGUAGACACAGAGGAAGCAAAAAGCACAGAAAAGUACUCAGAGGCUUCGCAGACACGUGGGAGACCCUCCUCAGUUGGUAAAACGCCACAGCAAUACCUUACAAUGGGCACAGAACUGUAACAUAAGGAGUGAUCUUCUUUUCUGAGGAGCCAAGGCUAAGAAAACUGAUUCUCGCUGAAAAAGAAAGCAUUUCCAAUGCACACCAGACAUAAAUAAUUCAUGCAAACCAACAUGAAUUAUUUUAGUACGUGGCUUUCAUAAAGUAACUUCUUUGUCUUCAUUAUAUAACCCCUAAAACUUCUCAAAGACUACUCUCAGACUUGUUAAAGCUGAAAAAGCUUAACUAUACAUAUAAACACUGUCAUAUAUCAAAGGCAUAUUUCACCUUACAAAGCAUGCUCACUAGGGCUUUGCUCACGAGACACCAAAAACACGUUCAGUUGCACUUCACCCUGAAAGCAGAAUCUCUUAUCCCUGAAUCAGAAGGGACGUAGGCACACGAAGUCCCAGGGAGAAAAGAGGCAUAUAUAUCGUGCUGAGUUAACAAGAUUUGGCACUUGUCUUUUUCACAGGAAAAGAAGGAACAUGAAAGAUAAGGAUUUUGGCAGUCUCACUAAUUUUUAUAUGGGACGCGGGAUGGGAGAUGAACCCUACCGGAGAUGAUUAUAAAUACCAGUUUGUCUUUGAAACCAGUUUUACGAAUUAAUGCAAUGCCUUAUUUCUUUCUUCUGGAGGAGUCUGUGGUCUCCUUUCAUCCUCAGAUUCUUCGUAGAAGAAAACUGCUCAGAUGUCCUGAGCAAAAUGAUCAAAUUCCAAAACCCAGGGUUUAAGAAAGCAGACAGAAAGCCACAGAGAGGGGAAGUGGUUAAAGAGAGGGGACAUUCCAAAAAGACAGCCACUUAGCACAAACAAUUCAAAUUCCAGUGUUGUUGGUGCCAGAAUCCUUUUCACUGUUGGUGAUGGGAUUUUGAGAAAAGUGUUUCAAAUAGAAGAAUUUGAGGUGUCUUAAAAAUGGGUUUCCAAAGAAAGUGGAGGAGGCGUGAAAAGAUUCCAUUAUCCAGUUGAGAUCGUCAAGUAUCCUGCUGAUCUAUGUGCGGGUCUGGAUACACACAGCCUUCAGGAACUUGGGCACAAACAAAAUCUACUGUGAUGGUUAACACUGAGUGUCAACUGGACUGAUUGAAGGAUGCAAAGUACUGUUCCUGGGUGUGCCUGUGAGGGUGUUGCCAAAGGAGGUGAACAUUUGAGUCAGUGAACUGGGAGAGGCAGACCCACCCUCAGUCUAAGUGGGCACUGUCUCAUCAGCUGCCAGCACAGGUAGGAUAAAGCAGGUAGGAGAAGAUGGAAAAGCAGACUUGCUUAGUCUUCUGGCCUUUAUCUUUCUCCUGUGCUGGAUGCUUCCUGCCCUCGAACAUCAGACUCCAAGUUCUUGGACUUACACCAGUGGUUUGCCAGAGCCUCUCGGGCCUUCGGCCACAGACAGACAGCUGCACUGUUGGCUUCCCUACUUCUGAGGUUUUGGGACUCAGACUGGUUUCCUUGCUCCUCAGCUUGCAGAAGACCUGUUGUGGGACUUCAUUUUGUGAUUGUGGGUCAUUGGGCCACAUCCAGGAAGAACUACCAGAGAAAUCAGCCCAGGCUCAGUCAGCUACAAGUCCCAGGACUGUGGAAGCCAGGGGUCUCCAGAGACAGAGCACCCCACAUCUGAAAGGGCUGAGACACACAGCCCUUGGCCGCUCUAGGAUUCAGUGAUUCCCAACGCGUAUCCUGAAACUCUGAUAAAACAAUGUGCCUCUGUCUCCUGAGUGAAACCGUUUAUGGAGUUAAGUUUACCAGCAUCUGUUUAUUUGGCUACACUGUGAAUGUUAAACAGUUUUUAGAGGUUAUCUGAAUAACUGGCACAGGUGAAAUAAAAUGAAAUAAAAUGUUGUGUUUCCCUCCUUGUGUGCUGGGUUAACUCUUUUGGGAUAUAACAAAGCUUUGAUAUGCCAGCUUUAUAGAUGAUUGAUACUGUGUGCUUGGGUCUUAUUAGCAAUUAAUUACAUCAUUCAUUCAUUCAUUCAUUCAUCAAUUCACCCAUUCAACAGAUGCCUACCCAAAGGUCUUCACAUGCCCAGAAUUUUCCUGGUCACUGGUCAUAACAACAGAGACCUUAUGGAUUUUACAGAGCAGCAAAAGAG